GCCGGAAUAGCUCAGCUGGGAGAGCAGCAGACUGAAGCGCAACGCGUUUUCUGAAGGUCCUGUGUUCAAUCCACAGUUCUGGCA